rnacentral:tRNA from 1 species
UUCCAUAUGGUCUAGUUGUUAGGAUCCGGCGCCUCCCAUCACCGUGGCCCGGGUUCGAUUCCCGGUGUUGGAA